GUUUUUUUUUUCCCAUGGUGAAAUUAUAAACUGGUAAUAAACUGUUUACAUUUGAAAAAUUCUGUAGUACUGCAUUUUACACAACUGAUCAGCCUAAAAGUUGUUUCUUAAGGAAAAUCUUUUGUCCCCCCCAGAAGAAAUUACAUUUAAUUUAUUAACCCCUAAAACUGUUAGUUUUGUCAUCUGUGCAUCUGGUAGCCAGAGCAUGGGGAUUUCUCUUCAGCAGCAUAGAUACUCCAGCCUUGAAUGGACCAUUGUCUAGCUCCUGUGAGAAACCUGACUAAUAAAUAUUUGAGAAAAACAACUCAAGAAUAUACGUUAUUCAUACAUUUCUCAAGUACUUGAGAUUUUGUUGUAUUAUGGUCAAUCAUUAAAAAGAUGUUUACCUGGGUUUCAUUAAUUAAACCCUCUAAGAUAUUUUCCAUUUUAUUGUUAAACCCUUGAUGUUAGCAAGGAUCAGCACAAGAAAAGGCCCAGUGGUGGGAAUAUCUACAAAUUCUGUAAAUCUUACUGAAUUAAUUGUGUUGUUGAGUGGUGCUUGUAUAAGGAAACAUGCAAUAAAUUCAUUCAACAAACAUUGAAUUGAAUGCUUGUUGUGUGUUGCAUGCCAAGGCCACCAUACAUAGAAAAAUCUUAGACCUAUGGAAUCUACCCUUGUUAAAUCAUUCAAGCUAAUGAAUUCAGGUACGUAAAGCAAGUAAAUCACAGUAAGACGUGGUUAGUACCUUAAAAGAAGAAUAAACAAAAUAGGAUGAAGGCACAGAAGAUGGACUGAUUUGCUGCCUGGAAGAGAAGGGGAAGGCUUGGUAAGAGGAAGGCGUUUGACAGGAUUUUGACCAAGGUCUCCUAUACCCAAGCUCAUGUACUUUUCUUGAUGCCUGGAAGAAGGUUAAGGCUGACUGAAGAGAGCUGUGGGCUUCGAGGUAGCAGAGGAGUUCCAUGUACAAAGGGUUGAAAACAUGAAAGAACAUAGUGUGCUCAGAGAAAACCAAGGAGCUAAACUUGAGAGUGAUGAAGAUGUAGGAUGGAAGUAUAGACUGGGGUGGUUAUACAUGUUUUUAAUUUAAUAAUUCUUUGUUUAAAGGAAUCGAUCUGUUGGUUUGUAUCAGAUAAGACUGUUAGAACCCUAGGAGUUCUUCCUUUUGCCUUCCUUGCCAAGGAAGUUAGUAAACCUCACCUUUGCUGGAGUUUGUGGUAUUUGACAUAUUUGCUUUCCUUUCCCACAUGUAAGAAAUGAUGUGUGCUUGCGUGUCUCUCUGCUGUGAGAUCCCCUGCUUCAUACUGAAUGCCUGUUUUCGUCCUCUCAUCCUAUUCAUUCCAUACAUAUUUAUUGAAAACCCACUGAGAAAAUAAAUAGCCAUGAAACUUAUCUGUUAGUGCCCAAGACUUUCAUGGCCCAGUUUUCCAUUUCUACACUAUUUCUUAACCACUACAAUUCACUGGCUUCAUUCACUUGGGGCACAUUCUGCAGUGUUCUUCAUAGCUAUAAACUUCUUUCAUUUGCGGUGGUAUGAUCUCACCAACUAGAUUUUAAGCUGCUUUCAGGGCAGGGACUAGAUCAUCUGCUUGUUGGAAUAUUUUAUCACUUGAAAUAACAGUGAUGAGAAGGAAAAGAAAUGAUACGCCCCAAGAAACUUCAAGGUAAUGAAUGAUGAGGGCCUAGCACGUGUGUUGUGCCAUCUCUUGGUGGAUAUGUAUGGAAAUGUGAAAAAGCUUUCUAAGAUAUAUCAGACCUUUGCUCAGUACUCACUUUUGUAUAUUAACUUAGGAUGGAGUGAUGCAACAGAAGAAAUCUGGAAAACACUUCCAAGACUUGGGAGCCAUGAAUUGGAAAUUUAAGAAUUUGGAGAUUUGGUCCAUCAUCUGACCUGAAGACUACAACUUUGAUUUCAGAGUUAUUAAUUAGAAGCAAUGAAUUGAACAGAACUAAGACUCAACCUUGAGGAAGCUCUGUCCUGCUUUUCUAAUUAACAAUCUGGUAAGAUAUACUAAACAUGCCCCUUAUCACCUUAUUAACAACAUUUAUUAUUCUGAAUGAAAUGAUGGAUAAGUCAUGCAUAACUAAGAAUUCUAGGCUGAUUUUUUUAAAACAACAAUCAUUAAAUAUGCAUUAUAAAUAUUCACUUUAUUUUAAAAGAAUUGGAAGAUGUUACAUAUAUUACACACUACAUAUAAUGGCACAUGUCAGCCUUUUAAGCUUAAAAAUAAUCUUUCCCCAAACUGGGAUUGACUUAGACUCCAAGUAUAAAAUGACUCUUGGCCUAUAGCACCAACCCAGGCCCAGAGGAAAGCCAAUUUUGAACCUGUCUUCCUUGGGCAUUGGGCCUCCUGAUAUGACACUGAGGGUCCUCUCCCUCUGGUUUUGUUCCCUGGCAGUACUGAGGCCUGGCACAGGAACCCAUUUGACUAUACAUCGCAGGCCUGGGAAAUCAGGGAAUCUAGUGGGGAAGGGUCCUCUAACAAUUUUACAAUGGGAAAAAAAAA